GGAAAUUAAGAAAUUGUUUCUUAACUUUUAACUAAAAAAACUAAAAAACGGUUCUUAAAUAAUGACUUUAAGAACCAGUUCUUAAAUUUAUUAGUUAAAAGUUAAGAAACAAUUUCUUAACUUUC
rfam:Brassica oleracea var. oleracea cultivar TO1000 chromosome C4, whole genome shotgun sequence